rnacentral:rRNA from 1 species
GACGAACGCUGGCGGCGUGCUUAACACAUGCAAGUCGAACGGUGAAGCUCCAGCUUGCUGGAGUGGAUCAGUGGCGAACGGGUGAGUAACACGUGAGCAACCUGCCCCUGACUCUGGAAUAAGCGCUGGAAACGGCGUCUAAUACUGGAUACGAGAAGGGUCCGCAUGGGCACUUUCUGGAAAGUUUUUCGGUUGGGGAUGGGCUCGCGGCCUAUCAGCUUGUUGGUGAGGUAAUGGCUCACCAAGGCGACGACGGGUAGCCGGCCUGAGAGGGCGACCGGCCACACUGGGACUGAGACACGGCCCAGACUCCUACGGGAGGCAGCAGUGGGGAAUAUUGCACAAUGGGCGAAAGCCUGAUGCAGCGACGCCGCGUGAGGGAUGACGGCCUUCGGGUUGAAAACCUCUUUCAGCAGGGAAGAAGCGAAAGUGACGGUACCUGCAGAAGAAGCACCGGCUAACUACGUG